CCUACGGAUGGCAGCAGUGGGGAAUAUUGGACAAUGGGCGAAAGCCUGAUCCAGCCAUGCCGCGUGUGUGAAGAAGGCCUUCGGGUUGUAAAGCACUUUCAGUGGGGAAGAAAGCCUUGGGGCUAAUACCCUCGAGGAAGGACAUCACCCACAGAAGAAGCACCGGCUAACUCCGUGCCAGCAGCCGCGGUAAUACGGAGGGUGCGAGCGUUAAUCGGAAUUACUGGGCGUAAAGCGCGCGUAGGCGGUCUGAUAAGCCGGUUGUGAAAGCCCCGGGCUCAACCUGGGAACGGCAUCCGGAACUGUCAGGCUAGAGUGCAGGAGAGGAAGGUAGAAUUCCCGGUGUAGCGGUGAAAUGCGUAGAGAUCGGGAGGAAUACCAGUGGCGAAGGCGGCCUUCUGGACUGACACUGACGCUGAGGUGCGAAAGCGUGGGUAGCAAACAGGAUUAGAUACCCGAGUAGUC
rnacentral:rRNA from 1 species